rnacentral:pre_miRNA from 1 species
CCUCAACAAAACUCAAUUCCUGAUUUUUACUGUUUAUAUUAUAUGAAAAAUUUUUAUGAUUAGUAUUUUCAUUAUUGUUAGAUGAUAAAACAUGAAUAAUACUUUACACGUGACUUAUCUUUUUAAAUUUUUCAUAUUUUUUUAAAUAAAACGGACGGUCAAAUGUUGGACACGAAAACCCAGGAAUUGAGUUAUU